rnacentral:rRNA from 1 species
UACGUAGGUGGCGAGCGUUGUCCGGAAUUACUGGGCGUAAAGGGCGUGCAGGCGGUUUUUUAAGUCAGAUGUGAAAACCCGAGGCUUAACUUCGGGAUUGCAUUUGAAACUGGAGGGCUUGAGUGCAGGAGAGGUAAGUGGAAUUCCUAGUGUAGCGGUGAAAUGCGUAGAUAUUAGGAGGAACACCAGUGGCGAAGGCGACUUACUGGACUGUAACUGACGCUGAGGCGCGAAAGCGUGGGGAGCAAACAGG